rnacentral:rRNA from 1 species
AUUGAACGCUGGCGGCAGGCCUAACACAUGCAAGUCGAGCGGCAGCGGGAAGUAGCUUGCUACUUUGCCGGCGAGCGGCGGACGGGUGAGUAAUGUCUGGGAAACUGCCUGAUGGAGGGGGAUAACUACUGGAAACGGUAGCUAAUACCGCAUAACGUCGCAAGACCAAAGAGGGGGACCUUCGGGCCUCUUGCCAUCAGAUGUGCCCAGAUGGGAUUAGCUAGUAGGUGGGGUAACGGCUCACCUAGGCGACGAUCCCUAGCUGGUCUGAGAGGAUGACCAGCCAAGCUGGAACUGAGACACGGUCCAGACUCCUACGGGAGGCAGCAGUGGGGAAUAUUGCACAAUGGGCGCAAGCCUGAUGCAGCCAUGCCGCGUGUAUGAAGAAGGCCUUCGGGUUGUAAAGUACUUUCAGCGGGGAGGAAAGUGUUGAGGUUAAUAACCUCAGCAAUUGACGUUACCCGCAGAAGAAGCACCGGCUAACUCCGUGCCAGCCGCCGCGGUAA